rnacentral:rRNA from 1 species
CUCCUACGGGAGGCAGCAGUAGGGAAUUUUCGUCAAUGGGCGCAAGCCUGAACGAGCAAUGCCGCGUGAACGAGGAAGGUCUUCGGAUCGUAAAGUUCUGUUGAAGGGGAAAAAGAGCGGAGAGAGGAAAUGGUCUCCGAUUGAUAUUACCCUUCGAGGAAGUCACGGCUAACUACGUGCCAGCAGCCGCGGUAAUACGUAGGUGGCAAGCGUUGUCCGGAUUUAUUGGGCGUAAAGCGAGUGCAGGCGGUUCAAUAAGGCUGAUGUGAAAGCCUUCGGCUCAACCGGUGAAUUGCAUCAGAAAA